rnacentral:rRNA from 1 species
CCUACGGGCGGCAGCAGUGGGGAAUAUUGGACAAUGGGCGAAAGCCUGAUCCAGCCAUGCCGCGUGUGUGAAGAAGGCCUUCGGGUUGUAAAGCACUUUCAGUGGGGAAGAAAGCCUUGGGUCUAAUACCCUCGAGGAAGGACAUCACCCACAGAAGAAGCACCGGCUAACUCCGUGCCAGCAGCCGCGGUAAUACGGAGGGUGCGAGCGUUAAUCGGAAUUACUGGGCGUAAAGCGCGCGUAGGCGGUCUGAUAAGCCGGUUGUGAAAGCCCCGGGCUCAACCUGGGAACGGCAUCCGGAACUGUCAGGCUAGAGUGCAGGAGAGGAAGGUAGAAUUCCCGGUGUAGCGGUGAAAUGCGUAGAGAUCGGGAGGAAUACCAGUGGCGAAGGCGGCCUUCUGGACUGACACUGACGCUGAGGUGCGAAAGCGUGGGUAGCAAACAGGAUUAGAUACCCUGGUAGUC